CCACGGAUAGCUCAGCUGGAAGAGCAUCAGACUCAUAAUCUGACUGUCGAAGGUUCGAUUCCUUCUCCAACGGCCU
rnacentral:tRNA from 2 species